GGGUCGGUGGCCGAGUGGCUAAAGGCAACAGACUGUAAAUCUGUCGACGCGAGUCUACGGUGGUUCGAAUCCACCCCUGCCCA
rnacentral:tRNA from 1 species